GCGAACGCUGGCGGCAUGCUUAACCCCUGCAAGUCGCGCGGGUGGUUUCGGCCAUCAGCGGCGGACGGGUGAGUAUCGCGUAGGAAUGUAUCCCGAGGUGGGGGACAACCCUGGGAAACUGGGGCUAAUACCGCAUGGGGCCUGUGGGUCAAAGCCUUAGGGCGCCUUGGGAGCAGCCUGCGUCCGAUUAGGUAGUUGGUGGGGUAAAGGCCUACCAAGCCUGCGAUCGGUAGCUGGUUUGAGAGGACGAUCAGCCACACUGGGACUGAGACACGGCCCAGACUCCUACGGGAGGCAGCAGUGGGGAAUAUUGGACAAUGGGCGCAAGCCUGAUCCAGCAAUGCCGCGUGGGUGAAGAAGGUCUUCGGAUUGUAAAGCCCUUUCGGCGGGGACGAUGAUGACGGUACCCGCAGAAGAAGCCCCGGCUAACUUCGUG
rnacentral:rRNA from 1 species